AUCAGAACGGAAAAGAACCUUACUGAUGGAAAUACUACAGAGCUGGUGGAUUUAUUUAUAUUAAGCCACGCUGCAGAUGCUGUGAAGAGGUGAAGCCCAAAUGAUACAGACUCAGACAUGGAUGCAGCAGUGCCAGAACACCUGAAGCAUGCUCCAGGAAGUGCUGGGGCUUGUGGAUAUAAAAAAUUAGCCAUAAACAACUUUCACAAACUCUAAAAACAUUUACACGUGUUAACCAUUAUCCAGUAUUUUUGUUGUUUACUUGUUUGAUUUAUGACUGUUUAACAAUAAUGCAAGACUGUUA